GGAUGAAUAUUGGUCAAUGGGCGCAAGCCUGAACCAGCCAUCCCGCGUGCAGGAAGACGGCCCUAUGGGUUGUAAACUGCUUUUCCAGGAGGAGAAACUUGCGCACGUGUUGCGCAAUUGACGGUACCCUGGGAAUAAGCAUCGGCUAACUCCGUGCCAGCAGCCGCGGUAAUACGGAGGAUGCGAGCGUUAUCCGGAUUCAUUGGGUUUAAAGGGUGCGUAGGCGGACUAUUAAGUCAGUGGUGAAAUC
rnacentral:rRNA from 1 species